rnacentral:rRNA from 1 species
CAGUCGCCGCGGUAAUACGUAGGUGGCAAGCGUUGUCCGGAAUUAUUGGGCGUAAAGGGCUCGCAGGCGGUUUCUUAAGUCUGAUGUGAAAGCCCCCGGCUCAACCGGGGAGGGUCAUUGGAAACUGGGAAACUUGAGUGCAGAAGAGGAGAGUGGAAUUCCACGUGUAGCUGUGAAAUGCGUAGAGAAGUGGAGGAACACCAGUGGCGAAGGCGACUCUCUGGUCUGUAACUGACGCUGAGGAGCGAAAGCGUGGGGAGCGAACAGGAUUAGAUACCCCCGUAGUCCCUGUCUCUUAUAC